AUCCAAAACAAAUAGAAAACUAU
rnacentral:snRNA from 1 species